UUUUUUUUUUUUUUUUUUUUUUUUUUUGGCCAGGGUUGCUUUCUGACUCUGGAGUGCAGCAAUUUGGCUAAACUGUCUGGCCAGCGAGCCCUAGGGAUCUUCCUGCCUCUGACUCUUCAGUGCUGGGAUUAUAGGCACUCAUGGUUGUACAUGGCCACAUCUGGCUUUUACAUAUGUGCAAGGGAUUGAACUCAAGUCCUUAUCCUUUAUGGCAAGCACUUGACUAAACCAUUUCCCCAACCCCUAGUACCUUUUCCCUGGUUAGUAGAGCCAUUUCCAACCCAGCAUCUCCUUCACACCCAGACUCACAGUACAAUAGGAGAGAUGCUGAGGAACUUUCGCGAGGAGGUAAACUGUAGUCCAUAGUCCAUCUGCUCCCAAUGUGUCAAAAGCCGAGCCUUUCCUUGGUCAGGGGUCUCAAAGGGCGUCCCUUUGACUGUAUGUAGGAAGAUAUACAUUGCCUGGGAAGAGGGAAAGGGACAGUAUAAGGGGUAGGAAGUAGUCCUUUGGGUCAAGAUCCCAAAAGGAAGACAUAAAUCCCCGAACAGCUGGUGACUUUGUUUUGUUUUGGUUGGGAUAGACCUGGGUUGGGUACAGGGUUUGGUUUAGUGCUCACCAAGUUAUGGAUGACGUUGGUCAGGGUCCAGACAACAGGAAUGCUGAAGAAAGGGAUGCUGAGGAGAACCACAUGCAGCAGUCCUACCAAGAUGAUGUAGGCCAGCCAGAUGCCCCGACUGUUCAUCACUCGAGUGUUGGGGUUUACUUCGCUGUGUGCCACCCCCACAUUCAUCCUACCACAGUGAGGGAUCAGGCAGGAGUCCAACUCAGUCUCCUCAUUAGCCCUGAUUGAGCUUGUUCCCCAGCUGUCUCCUGAAAAGCCAAAAUCCCCUGAAGUCUUGGGAAUGAAAGAAUUUCCCUACCAUGC
rnacentral:lncRNA from 1 species